rnacentral:miRNA from 1 species
GUACCAUCAGAAUGCCUAGGGAGCUUUUAAACAAUACUGAUGCCUGGGCCCAUUCCCACAGAUUCUGACUUAAUUGGUCUGAGAGGGUGCCCUGGCAUUUGUGUUUUAUUAAAAUCAUCCCA